rnacentral:rRNA from 1 species
UACGUAGGGUGCAAGCGUUGUCCGGAAUUAUUGGGCGUAAAGAGCUCGUAGGCGGUUUGUCGCGUCUGCUGUGAAAACUCGGGGCUUAACCCCGGGCCUGCAGUGGGUACGGGCAGACUAGAGUGCGGCAGGGGAGACUGGAAUUCCUGGUGUAGCGGUGGAAUGCGCAGAUAUCAGGAGGAACACCGGUGGCGAAGGCGGGUCUCUGGGCCGAUACUGACGCUGAGGAGCGAAAGCGUGGGGAGCGAACAGG